rnacentral:rRNA from 1 species
UACGUAGGGUGCAAGCGUUGUCCGGAAUUAUUGGGCGUAAAGAGCUCGUAGGCGGUCUGUCACGUCGGAUGUGAAAACUCAGGGCUCAACCCCGAGCCUGCAUUCGAUACGGGCAGACUUGAGUUCGGCAGGGGAGACUGGAAUUCCUGGUGUAGCGGUGAAAUGCGCAGAUAUCAGGAGGAACACCGGUGGCGAAGGCGGGUCUCUGGGCCGAUACUGACGCUGAGGAGCGAAAGCGUGGGGAGCGAACAGG